UCGUCUUCGUCUUCCACCUCGGUUCGGAUAGGCGCCGAGACCGCGACGCUUUCUUUCUCCAUCCCCUCCAACUCCAAGCAGCAGAUAGCCUUCCGUAGCUACUCCUCAUUCCUGCUUUCUCGUUCCUUGGCGAGACUGGCUUGCGAGUAAUGCAGCUCCGAACUUGUUUUGUUGGUGGUCAUCUAACCAUGCUCCGAUCCGGUGCAUGGAUCAUGGAUUGCGGUCAUGACCCAUGACCGUCAUGGACUGAUCAUGGUCUUGCGUGCGCGGUUAGAUGACCAUCAGCAAACAAGUUCAUGAGGCAUGCAGAAGCAAACUGCUCCCUACCGAUCAGAGAUUACCACCGCACCGCCGGCCACGACGACCUCGCCGAAUGUAGAAGCUUCACGAGGAGGCAUGGCGUGCUUCGAAAGUUCUUCCAAGAAGUUGAAGAAGUGAGAGUGCGUGUUUCGUGGAGAUCCGAGUGCGAUUGUUCUGUCGCUUGGACGCCCUUCACUCCGUGGAAAAAAUGUUCAUGCUUGCUCAGUUGCUAAAAAAAAAAAAUUGUUCAUCGCUUCAUCGUCGUCGUCUCUAUUCGUCAUCAUCAUUUGAGAUAUAGCUUCUGAAUCCCCCAGUUACUCUCAGAGCUAUUUGAUUCUCCUACAUGAUUUGGUGACGAGCUGAUCAUGAGCAUAUGCCUCAUGCCUAUGUCAGAGGUUCCGCGUUCUGUGUUGUAACAAGAUCUGGUCAAGUACAGAUGCAGCGUGUGUUGCUGCGCCUUUAGGCCUUGUUUAUUUCUUUUUUUUUGUUGGCCAAUUUUUUUUAAUCGGAAUCUUACUAUUUCGGAGUACUAAAUAAAAUCUAUAUUUCGGAGUACUAAA